AUAAUUGUCAGCUAAGUGGCGCACGGGUGAGUAAUGUAUAGAUAACCUGCCCUUAAGAAAGGAAUAACAGUUGGAAACGACUGCUAAUGCCCUAUAUGCCUUUAAUACAUAAGUAUGCAAGGGAAACGCUUUAGUGCUUAAGGAUGGGUCUGUAUGGUAUCAGCUUGUUGGUGAGGUAAUGGCUCACCAAGGCUAUGACGCCUAACUGGUUUGAGAGGAUGAUCAGUCACACUGGAACUGAGACACGGUCCAGACUCCUACGGGAGGCAGCAGUGGGGAAUAUUGCACAAUGGACGAAAGUCUGAUGCAGCAACGCCGCGUGGAGGAUGACACAUUUCGGUGCGUAAACUCCUUUUAUAUAGGAAGAUAAUGACGGUACUAUAUGAAUAAGCACCGGCUAACUCCGUGCCAGCAGCCGCGGUAAUACGGAGGGUGCAAGCGUUACUCGGAAUCACUGGGCGUAAAGAGCGUGUAGGCGGGUAUAUAAGUCAGAAGUGAAAUCCAAUAGCUCAACUAUUGAACUGCUUUUGAAACUGUAUACCUAGAAUGUGGGAGAGGUAGAUGGAAUUUCUGGUGUAGGGGUAAAAUCCGUAGAGAUCAGAAGGAAUACCGAUUGCGAAGGCGAUCUACUGGAACAUUAUUGACGCUGAGACGCGAAAGCGUGGGGAGCAAACAGGAUUAGAUACCCUGGUAGUCCACGCCCUAAACGAUGCACACUAGUUGUUGUGAGGCUCGACCUUGCAGUAAUGCAGUUAACACAUUAAGUGUACCGCCUGGGGAGUACGGUCGCAAGAUUAAAAC
rnacentral:rRNA from 1 species